rnacentral:piRNA from 1 species
UGACCCCAUAGUUACGGACAGAUUCAGC